rnacentral:lncRNA from 1 species
GAGGCCCAACAUAUGGAUAAAAUAAAUAAAUUCCAAUUUUAAACAAAAAUAUAGAGAGGAAAAUUAAAAUAGACAUUUAUUAAUAUGGACACAAAGCUGUUCGUUAGCUUUCCUUCCGUUAACGUCCACAAGGCAAGUUCGCGGCCAAGUCUUUUGUUUUGGUCACUUUCACCAACCCUUGCGUCCGACACAUCUACCUUAUUUAUUUCACUUUAAAUAAUUUCUUCUAUUUCAAAUUUUAUUUUUUAUUAUUUAUUACUCAACAUCCAUAG